rnacentral:rRNA from 1 species
GAUGAACGCUGGCGGCGUGCCUAAUACAUGCAAGUCGAGCGAACGGACGAGAAGCUUGCUUCUCUGAUGUUAGCGGCGGACGGGUGAGUAACACGUGGAUAACCUACCUAUAAGACUGGGAUAACUUCGGGAAACCGGAGCUAAUACCGGUAAAUAUUUAUAACCGCAUGGUUCAAAAGUGAAAGACGGUCUUGCUAUCACUUAUAGAUGGAUCCGCGCUGCAUUAGCUAGUUGGUAAGGUAACGGCUUACCAAGGCAACGAUGCAUAGCCGACCUGAGAGGGUGAUCGGCCACACUGGAACUGAGACACGGUCCAGACUACUACGGGAGGCAGCAGUGGGGAAUCUUCCGCAAUGGGCGAAAGCCUGACGGAGCAACGCCGCGUGAGUGAUGAAGGUCUUCGGAUCGUAAAACUCUGUUAUUAGGGAAGAACAUAUGUGUAAGUAACUGUGCACAUCUUGACGGUACCUAAUCAGAAAGCCACGGCUAACUACGUG